AACAACUAAAGCAACAACAACAACAACAACGACAGUAGCUAUGCGAACCAACCAACCAACAAUGAUCGCGUCAAAUGUAUGAAUGUUUACAAUAACGCCAACAACACUUUUGCAUUCAUUCAGCCUAUCGCUCGCUAAAGCGAGUAAACACACAUGUGCGCCGGGCGGUGAUCAGUUAAGGAGCGCUGUGCCGCCCGUCUAGGGGCAAAGAAAGGCAGAGGCGAGUGCGUGGUAUGGUGUGGUGUGGCGCGGCAAGGCUUGGCUAUUUGUUUAAAUAAACAUACGGAGCACGUACGUACGCGCCGGUUUCUGGUGAUUAAGUCUAAAUUUUUCAAAGAAGUCUGAGCAAAACGAAAUUUACACUAGAAUAAGCUUCAAAGAAAGUAUAUUCUCGAAAUUUUCGAAAGCUCUUUGAUGGACAACUUAGUUGUUCGAAAAGCAGAUGAAGAACACGACUACGAAUAAAUUUUUGUUUGUCGGAAAAGGAGAUGAAUUCACCUGAAGCAGAGCUUUUUGUUGAUAUUUCAAGCAAAUCAUUAAUCCAGGAUCUACUGUGAAAAUACAAUUGCAUAGCCUGCGAUCGGCCAAGCUCUUUUUGAGAAACUUCAAUUGCUGUAAGAGUAUACGAAAUGACUGAAAGAGAUGCGUAAAUAAUUUGGAGGCCUGCGAACGAAAACGCAACGGCAAGCAGAACUCUGGAACUGGAACUCAGGACUAAAAUCCGGUUACCAUUGCCAGUGCCAACUAAGCAACGAAAUGGGUGAAGAUGUAUACUGCGUGAAGGGGUAUAAAAUAGAACUUCGAAUGCUGCAAUAAUAACGUAAGCGGUAUCGAAUUUCCGGAUUUAUGUUGCUACAAAUAUUAUAUUUUUUGCUAAAAAAUUUUUUUCAAAUAUUUAACUCUUAAGCACAGUAUCUAGCUCUCAAGAAAACCUACAUAGUCAUAUGAAAAAAAUGCUCAAGAAAUGGAAAAACAAAUCUUAAGUGAAUGAGUUUGUAGUUCUUAAAAAAAAUGUUCAUAGAUAUAUUUAUUUUUUCAAGAAAAUUUAAAACGGAAACAAUAAAAACAAUUUCCUGUAAUUUUUCUUGACGGCUGGAAACUAAGCUUUAUAAGAACGCAACAACAAACGAAAGAAAAAAACAAAUUAAGUUGAGCAAACGUUUCGUUGCGUGGGAACAUUAUUUACUUAAUUGAAAAAAUGUAAUUUUAGCAAUUAAAAUUUAAUGGUUACAUAUACAUACAUAUGUAUGUAUCUUUAUUUUAUCGUAUUUUCUGGCAUACUCUACCUUCUAAACUAUCCCGAGAGUUGAACCACUUAACAUUUAUUACUGUACAUUUGCUUAUCUUGCCACUGGUUUUUAUAAAAAGCAUUACAAGCCAGUAUUUGAGGCAGUUGUUUAAGAAAUUAGGUAUUUUGUAAACGCUUCCUGUUGAUCCUAUGUCUAAAACGCCGUUAAUUUAGGCAUGGCGCUCGAACUAUUCGAUUUUAGGAUGGAGCUAUAACUUUUUCUUAUUAAUUCCUAUGCUAGAAGAAAUUUGUUGUUUUUGAAAAGUUUGCUAUAACAAACAUAUUAACAAAUGCAAAAAAAAAAAACAAAUUAAUAAAAAAAAGGGAAGGAUGGCGUGAAUUACACGUGCGUUAUACUUCACUAAUCAUUUCAACCGUUGAUGCUACAACCGAGCUUGUAGCAAUCCUUUUGAGAUUUGUAAUCUCCAAUAAAAUUACACACCUACAAUCUAUUUAGUGGAGCAAACAUAUUGAAAUUGACUGAAAAAAUAUUUUCUUUUCAAUAGCAUCUUCACGUAAAACUUUAAUUAAUCGCAUGACGAACGACUUGUUUCCUUCGAAGUUUAGCAGCUUCAAAGAGACUGGUUGGCUUUUGGGAAGCCUGAACUCAAACAAGCGCUUUGUGUCAUUUUUUUUUACUUAUCCAAUGAAUUAUUUCAAUUCCAAUUUUUUGGAAAAAAAAACAAGAAGAAUAAGCAUUGAGUACACAUAUAGCAAAAAUAGGGUUGGCUACAAUUACGCGGUGCAGUGCCGCUGAUUUGACAAAAAAAAAC